rnacentral:sRNA from 1 species
GUCGGAUUCGGGAUGAAGUGGUUGACCCGCUCGCCCAUCAACGCCCAGGUGCGCUUGCCGUCCCGAACCAUCUGCACGCCUCGGCGUUUGAACUCCUU